rnacentral:rRNA from 1 species
GCCUAAAGCGUCCGUAGCCUGUUCUAUAAGUUUCCGGUUAAAUCCACUAGCUCAACUAGUGGGCUGCCGAAAAUACUGUAGAACUAGGGAGUGGGAGAGGUAGACGGUAUUCGGUAGGAAGGGGUAAAAUCCUUUGAUCUAUUGAGGACCACCUGUGGCGAAGGCGGUCUACCAGAACACGUUCGACGGUGAGGGAUGAAAGCUGGGGGAGCAAACCGGAUUAGAUACCCGGGUAGUCCCAGCUGUAAACGAUGCAGACUCGGUGAUGCGCUGGCUUGUGGCCAGUGCAGUGCCGCAGGGAAGCCGUUAAGUUUGCCGCCUGGGAAGUACGUACGCAAGUAUGAAACUUAAAGGAAUUGGCGGGGGAGCACCACAAGGGGUGAAGCCUGCGGUUCAAUUGGAGUCAACGCCAGAAAUCUUACCCGAAGAGACAGCAGAAUGAAGGUCAAGCUGAAGACUUUACCAGACAAGCUGAGAAGUGGUGCAUGGCCGUCGCCAGCUCGUGCCGUGAGAUGUCCUGUUAAGUCAGGUAACGAGCGAGAUCCCUGCCUCUAGUUGCCACCAUUACUCUCAGGAGUAGUGGGGCGAAUUAGCGGGACUGCCGCAGUUAAUGCGGAGGAAGGAGGGGGCCACGGCAGGUCAGUAUGCCCCGAA